CUCCUCCCCACCUUCUCCCGCGAACCCACACUCACAAAGAGCCGAGGGGAGAGAGGGUGCGCAGACGGCCAGCCGGGCCGCGCCAGGGACAUACUGGAGACAGGAAGUGGCUGAGAGGGGGAGAGAGUUGGAGAGAGACGGCCGCGGAGGACACGGGGACGGGAAAGUCUGAGAGACGGGGAGAGCCUGACCCGGCGGGACACAGGCAGAAAGAAACACGCGAGCCAGACAGACGCAGAAGAAACGUGCCUGGUACUGGAUAGGAACUUCAUGGAAUGGAGCUAAUGGGCCGUAGGGCAGGUUUGAGUCGUGCCACCCUGGAGCAGAAGGUGGAGGGUAGGGAUAAGGGUGGAGAGAAACUAGGAGAAAAGCACAGGAUGUAGAGGUCUAUUCGGCAUAAUCUUCUCCCUCAUUUUCAUCUUCACCAUCAACAGAGAGAGCAGCAUACUUGCUUGCAGAACUGAACUUCUGUAACACAACGAGAGUGACAGGAUAAUGAAGGCCCUGAAUUAUCACAUCAAAACCCAAGACACAGGAUACUGAUCCUUUGGCAAUGGGGGAUGACAGUCAGAUGACACCCACUUGCUUGCUCAUCAGCAUUGUCCAUUGGAGAGGAGCUAGGGAAGAGGGUCAGAGGCACAUGCGAUCUUACUAUAGUCUCAUACCACCUCUACACCUUGCAGAAGGGAUGAGAACAAAGGAAGACAGAAACCAGGAAAAAGCUAAACUUCUUUCGCUAUUUCAGUAAAGACCAAUGUCUUAUUUCCAAACACUUUGUAUUCCAAAUGGAAAGAAGUCCAACGGCAAAAAGUUUAGAAUACUAAGAAUUUUUAAUUCUUAGUAAGAAUACUUAGAAUUCUAAGAAUUUUUCUUAGAAUGAAAAAUUGGGAGCAGCCUUCAACACUUACGGAAGCUGGAUUUUCCUCAGGUUUCUUUGGCUCAGGUGCAGAUCUGGAGUCUUGAUCCUUUUUGCCAUCUUUCCUGCAGAGACGUAAGCAUAAAACCAUGUCUUUAGGAAAGGACUCGCCUAAUACAAACAUGUGUAUGCAUGCAGUUUCAAGGCACUGAACAGGCACCUCUAGUCAACAGUCCUUGUUGUCUGGAUGAUGUAUUACUUCUAGAUUUUCAGAAUCUUAACUGUCUACGUUGGCUGACUUUAGUUUGCUCACAAUGAGCGAUCUGGCAGUGCUCUGAGAACCAAGAACUUAAUUUCUUAAUUACACAAACAUGUGGAUCAGAGGAAAGAUGAGAAAGAGAACAAGCAUACCUAUCUGACUCCUUCCAGUGGUCUCUGUUCCCUCCGUCGCCUGGACCACGGCUAGAGUUCCCAGUUUGGCCUUUUGGGGCAUUCAUCCCAU
rnacentral:lncRNA from 1 species